AAUGCAAGUGUUUAACAGAUGCUUCACUAUUAAAAUAUUUCCCCCCCAAGUCUCAAAUAUUGAAGAAUCUCUAACCAGGCUCGAAACGCCGGUCUCAGUGGCUAUUGAGUUACCCACCAAGUUACCCCGGUUAGAGCUGUUUGGGGUGGCUCACGUUAUUGCGGCAAACUUUGGAGAUGACGGCUGAGUCCUCCGGGCGAACAUGUCAAGCCGAUUGUAAAUGCUGUUAUUUCCACAUCCUUCAGGGACACCAGUCCCUACGAAGACCUUGGGCGAUUUUGAAGUGCGGGCACCUCGAUUCCCCGAAUCUGUAGUGUGGCUGGUAUCGGUGUUCCCCUGGUUUAACUAGCCUGUUUGAAGGCACAGAUCAUUCAUGGGGAAGUAUAACCGAAACCAGUCCUCUCCACCCCCUGGGGAUCUUCACUUUCCCAGUCUACAACUGCCUGUGACUCCAGAAAGACAAACUGCAGAUUGGCCAAGGUACAUCUCAGAUCAGAUCCCUCUGGGAAAAGCGCGGGAAUGCUUGGCUCUAGUAGUUAGGAGCUCUGGUGAGAGCGCCCCUAGUGCCAUUUUCCCAUCCCUGCCCUUGACGGUCCCCUUUGGUCUAAAUUCACGGUUCUAGACAGUCAAAGUCUACCUGCUGGGUGUCCACUCUCAAGCCAUAGGUUUUCAAUCCUAAAAGGGAUUAGGACCUUGGCUCAAAAUGUGGUCAACGCAGUGUUCAAAUUAGGAGGGCAGCUGGGAGAUGGCAGCAGGGGAUGAAAGUAUGACUCCUACUUCGUCCCCAACUGUGGGUCUGGCACCC
rnacentral:antisense_RNA from 1 species